rnacentral:rRNA from 1 species
UACGUAGGGUGCGAGCGUUGUCCGGAAUUAUUGGGCGUAAAGAGCUCGUAGGCGGUGUGUCACGUCGGCCGUGAAAACCUGCAGCUUAACCGCGGGCUUGCGGUUGAUACGGGCGGGCUAGAGUUCGGUAGGGGAGACUGGAAUUCCUGGUGUAGCGGUGAAAUGCGCAGAUAUCAGGAGGAACACCGGUGGCGAAGGCGGGUCUCUGGGCCGAUACUGACGCUGAGGAGCGAAAGCGUGGGGAGCGAACAGG